UACGUAGGGUGCACGCGUUAAUCGGAAUUACUGGGCGUAAAGCGUGCGCAGGCGGUUAUGUAAGACAGGUGGGAAAUCCCCGGGCUUAACCUGGGAACUGCAUUUGUGACUGCAUAGCUAGAGUACGGUAGAGGGGGAUGGAAUUCCGCGUGUAGCAGUGAAAUGCGUAGAUAUGCGGAGGAACACCGAUGGCGAAGGCAAUCCCCUGGGCCUGCACUGACGCUCAUGCACGAAAGCGUGGGGAGCAAACAGG
rnacentral:rRNA from 1 species